AGUGAACGCUGGCGGUAGGCCUAACACAUGCAAGUCGAACGGCAGCACAGUAAGAGCUUGCUCUUACGGGUGGCGAGUGGCGGACGGGUGAGGAAUACAUCGGAAUCUACUUUUUCGUGGGGGAUAACGUAGGGAAACUUACGCUAAUACCGCAUACGACCUACGGGUGAAAGCAGGGGAUCUUCGCACCUUGCGCGAUUGAAUGAGCCGAUGUCGGAUUAGCUAGUUGGCGGGGUAAAGGCCCACCAAGGCGACGAUCCGUAGCUGAUCUGAGAGGAUGAUCAGCCACACUGGAACUGAGACACGGUCCAGACUCCUACGGGAGGCAGCAGUGGGGAAUAUUGGACAAUGGGCGAAAGCCUGAUCCAGCCAUACCGCGUGGGUGAAGAAGGCCUUCGGGUUGUAAAGCCCUUUUGUUGGGAAAGAAAAGCAGCAGGUUAAUACCCCGAUGUUCUGACGGUACCCAAAGAAUAAGCACCGGCUAACUUCGUG
rnacentral:rRNA from 1 species